rnacentral:piRNA from 1 species
ACUCUGAGGAGAGCGUUCCGGCGGACGG